UGGGGAAUAUUGCACAAUGGGCGCAAGCCUGAUGCAGCCAUGCCGCGUGUAUGAAGAAGGCAUUCGGGUUGUAAAGUACUUUCAGCGGGGAGGAAGGGAGUAAAGUUAAUACCUUUGCUCCUUGACGUUACCCGCAGAAGAAGCACCGGCUAACUCCGUGCCAGCAGCCGCGGUAAUACGGAGGGUGCAAGCGUUAAUCGGAAUUACUGGGCGUAAAGCGCACGCAGGCGGUUUGUUAAGUCAGAUGUGAAAUCCCCGGGCUCAACCUGGGAACUGCAUCUGAGACUGGCAAGCUUGAGUCUCGUAGAGGGGGGUAGAAUUCCAGGUGUAGCGGUGAAAUGCGUAGAGAUCUGGAGGAAUACCGGUGGCGAAGGCGGCCCCCUGGACGAAGACUGACGCUCAGGUGCGAAAGCGUGGGGAGCAAACAGG
rnacentral:rRNA from 1 species